UGAUACUUCCCUUAUAUUUUACUCAAG
rnacentral:piRNA from 1 species